GCUGGGCACAGUGGUACGUGCCUGUAGCCCCAGCUACUCGGGAGGCGGAGGCUGGAGGAUCGCUUGAGUCCAGGAGUUCUGGGCUGUAGUGUGCUAUGCUGAUUGGGUGUCCGCACUAAGUUCGGCAUCAAUAUGGUGACCUCCUGGGAGCAGGGGACCACCAGGUUGUCUAAGGAGGGGUGAACUGGCCCAGGUUAGAAACAGAGCAGGCCAAAACUCCUGUGCUGAUCAGUAGUGGGAUCGCACCUGUGAAUAGCCACUGCACUCUAGCCUGGGCAAACAUAGUAAGACGCCAUCUCU
ensembl:misc_RNA Metazoa_SRP Metazoan signal recognition particle RNA